UGCGUAGGCGGGUCUUUAAGUCAGGGGUGAAAUCCUGGAGCUCAACUCCAGAACUGCCUUUGAUACUGAGGAUCUUGAGUACGGGAGAGGUGAGUGGAACUGCGAGUGUAGAGGUGAAAUUCGUAGAUAUUCGCAAGAACACCAGUGGCGAAGGCGGCUCACUGGCCCGUAACUGACGCUGAGGCACGAAAGCGUGGGAGCAAACA
rnacentral:rRNA from 1 species